GGGGAAUUUUCCGCAAUGGGCGAAAGCCUGACGCAGCGACACCGCGUGGGGGAUGAAGGCUUUCGAGUUGUAAACCCCUUUUCCCGGGGAUGAGAAAGGACAGUACCCGGGGAAUAAGGCCCGGCCAACUACGUGCCAGCAGCCGCGGUAAAACGUAGGGGCCAAGCGUUGUCCGGAAUUAUUGGGCGUAAAGGGUGCGUAGGCGGCCCGGUCAGUCUCGUGUGAAAGCUCCCGGCCCAACCGGGAGAGGUCACGGGAUACUGCCGGGCUUGAGGAUAGCAGAGGAAGGUGGAAUUCCCGGUGUAGCGGUGAUAUGCGUAGAUAUCGGGAGGAACACCUGUGGCGAAAGCGACCUUCUGGGCUAUUUCUGACGCUGAGGCACGAGAGCGUGGGGAGCGAACCGGAUUAGAUACCCGGGUAGUCCACGCCCUAAACGAUGAGUGCUAGAUAUGGGGGGUAUCGACCCCCUCCGUGUCGUAGCUAACGCAUUAAGCACUCCGCCUGGGGGAGUACGGCCGCAAGGCUAAAACUCAAGGAAUUGACGGGGGCCCGCACAAGCAGGCGGAGCGUGUGGUUUAAUUCGAUGCAAAGCGAAGAACCUUACCUGGGCUUGACAUGCAGCAAGUAGGAACCUGAAAAGGGGACGACUCGUCAAGUCGAGAGGCUACACAGCUGUUGCAUGGCUGUCGUCAGCUCGUGUCGUGAGAUGUUGGGUUAAGUCCCGCAACGAGCGCAACCCACGUUUUUAGUUGCCAGCAUUCAGUUGGGUACUCUAGAAAGACUGCCGGUGAUAAACCGGAGGAAGGUGUGGACGACGUCAAGUCAUCAUGCCCCUUACGCCUUGGGCUACACACGUACUACAAUGCUACGGACAAAGAGCAGCCAGCUCGCAAGAGUCAGCAAAUCUCCUAAACUGUAGCUCAGUUCAGAUCGUAGGCUGCAACUCGCCUACGUGAAGCAGGAAUCGCUAGUAAUCGCAGGUCAGCAUACUGCGGUGAAUACGUCCCCGGGCCUUGUACACACCGCCCGU
rnacentral:rRNA from 1 species